AUUGAACGCUGGCGGCAUGCCUUACACAUGCAAGUCGAACGGCAGCACGGGAGCAAUCCUGGUGGCGAGUGGCGAACGGGUGAGUAAUACAUCGGAACGUGCCCAAUCGUGGGGGAUAACGCAGCGAAAGCUGUGCUAAUACCGCAUACGAUCUACGGAUGAAAGCAGGGGACCGCAAGGCCUUGCGCGAAGGGAGCGGCCGAUGGCAGAUUAGGUAGUUGGUGGGGUAAAGGCUCACCAAGCCAACGAUCUGUAGCUGGUCUGAGAGGACGACCAGCCACACUGGGACUGAGACACGGCCCAGACUCCUACGGGAGGCAGCAGUGGGGAAUUUUGGACAAUGGGCGCAAGCCUGAUCCAGCCAUGCCGCGUGCAGGAUGAAGGCCUUCGGGUUGUAAACUGCUUUUGUACGGAACGAAACGGCCUUUUCUAAUAAAGAGGGCUAAUGACGGUACCGUAAGAAUAAGCACCGGCUAACUACGUG
rnacentral:rRNA from 1 species